GUUACGAUUUGAUGCAAGGUUAAGCAGUAAAUGUGGAGCCGUAGCGAAAGCGAGUCUGAAUAGGGCGUUUAGUAUUUGGUCGUAGACCCGAAACCAGGUGAUCUACCCUUGGUCAGGUUGAAGUUCAGGUAACACUGAAUGGAGGACCGAACCGACUUACGUUGAAAAGUGAGCGGAUGAACUGAGGGUAGCGGAGAAAUUCCAAUCGAACCUGGAGAUAGCUGGUUCUCUCCGAAAUAGCUUUAGGGCUAGCCUCAAGUGAUGAUUAUUGGAGGUAGAGCACUGUUUGGACGAGGGGCCCCUCUCGGGUUACCGAAUUCAGACAAACUCCGAAUGCCAAUUAAUUUAACUUGGGAGUCAGAACAUGGGUGAUAAGGUCCGUGUUCGAAAGGGAAACAGCCCAGACCACCAGCUAAGGUCCCAAAAUAUAUGUUAAGUGGAAAAGGAUGUGGCGUUGCCCAGACAACUAGGAUGUUGGCUUAGAAGCAGCCAUCAUUUAAAGAGUGCGUAAUAGCUCACUAGUCGAGUGACACUGCGCCGAAAAUGUACCGGGGCUAAACAUAUUACCGAAGCUGUGGAUUGUCCUUUGGACAAUGGUAGGAGAGCGUUCUAAGGGCGUUGAAGCAUGAUCGUAAGGACAUGUGGAGCGCUUAGAAGUGAGAAUGCCGGUGUGAGUAGCGAAAGACGGGUGAGAAUCCCGUCCACCGAUUGACUAAGGUUUCCAGAGGAAGGCUCGUCCGCUCUGGGUUAGUCGGGUCCUAAGCUGAGGCCGACAGGCGUAGGCGAUGGAUAACAGGUUGAUAUUCCUGUACCACCUAUAAUCGUUUUAAUCGAUGGGGGGACGCAGUAGGAUAGGCGAAGCGUGCGAUUGGAUUGCACGUCUAAGCAGUAAGGCUGAGUAUUAGGCAAAUCCGGUACUCGUUAAGGCUGAGCUGUGAUGGGGAGAAGACAUUGUGUCUUCGAGUCGUUGAUUUCACACUGCCGAGAAAAGCCUCUAGAUAGAAAAUAGGUGCCCGUACCGCAAACCGACACAGGUAGUCAAGAUGAGAAUUCUAAGGUGAGCGAGCGAACUCUCGUUAAGGAACUCGGCAAAAUGACCCCGUAACUUCGGGAGAAGGGGUGCUCUUUAGGGUUAACGCCCAGAAGAGCCGCAGUGAAUAGGCCCAAGCGACUGUUUAUCAAAAACACAGGUCUCUGCUAAACCGUAAGGUGAUGUAUAGGGGCUGACGCCUGCCCGGUGCUGGAAGGUUAAGAGGAGUGGUUAGCUUCUGCGAAGCUACGAAUCGAAGCCCCAGUAAACGGCGGCCGUAACUAUAACGGUCCUAAGGUAGCGAAAUUCCUUGUCGGGUAAGUUCCGACCCGCACGAAAGGCGUAACGAUUUGGGCACUGUCUCAACGAGAGACUCGGUGAAAUCAUAGUACCUGUGAAGAUGCAGGUUACCCGCGACAGGACGGAAAGACCCCGUGGAGCUUUACUGUAGCCUGAUAUUGAAAUUCGGCACAGCUUGUACAGGAUAGGUAGGAGCCUUUGAAACGUGAGCGCUAGCUUACGUGGAGGCGCUGGUGGGAUACUACCCUAGCUGUGUUGGCUUUCUAACCCGCACCACUUAUCGUGGUGGGAGACAGUGUCAGGCGGGCAGUUUGACUGGGGCGGUCGCCUCCUAAAAGGUAACGGAGGCGCUCAAAGGUUCCCUCAGAAUGGUUGGAAAUCAUUCAUAGAGUGUAAAGGCAUAAGGGAGCUUGACUGCGAGACCUACAAGUCGAGCAGGGUCGAAAGACGGACUUAGUGAUCCGGUGGUUCCGCAUGGAAGGGCCAUCGCUCAACGGAUAAAAGCUACCCCGGGGAUAACAGGCUUAUCUCCCCCAAGAGUUCACAUCGACGGGGAGGUUUGGCACCUCGAUGUCGGCUCAUCGCAUCCUGGGGCUGUAGUCGGUCCCAAGGGUUGGGCUGUUCGCCCAUUAAAGCGGUACGCGAGCUGGGUUCAGAACGUCGUGAGACAGUUCGGUCCCUAUCCGUCGUGGGCGUAGGAAAUUUGAGAGGAGCUGUCCUUAGUACGAGAGGACCGGGAUGGACAUACCUCUGGUGUACCAGUUGUCGUGCCAACGGCAUAGCUGGGUAGCUAUGUGUGGACGGGAUAAGUGCUGAAAGCAUCUAAGCAUGAAGCCCCCCUCAAGAUGAGAUUUCCCAACUUCGGUUAUAAGAUCCCUCAAAGAUGAUGAGGUUAAUAGGUUCGAGGUGGAAGCAUGGUGACAUGUGGAGCUGACGAAUACUAAUCGAUCGAAGACUUAAUCAAAA
rnacentral:rRNA from 1 species